AUUGAAUUUGUUGGAUUUCAGCUUCAUAGGACUCUACAUCACACUCCUAUGUAUUGGUUUACUAUGUGGUUUGUAGCCUGGUCCACUAAAGGAGCUUUUUAGUGAUUACCACUGGAUUAUAUAAAUCCAUAUAUAUAUACAUUAUAUAUCAUAAAUAUGUAUAUAUAUGUAUAUAUAUAUAUAUAUAUAUAUAUAUAUAUAUAUAUAUAUAU